ACCUUUUCCAUGGGCACAGGAAGAGCUGGGGUAUCGCAUUCUACACCUCAGACCACAAAAGCCAUCACAACAUACUCUCAGAACCGGGAAUAGGAAAAGCAGAUGGAGAUAAUUGAAGCAGACAAAGGACUGCUCUGCUUGCAUGUGCAAAUUGCCUCAAAGUCUCAGACCCCAGAGAGGGGCUGGAGGAAGUGGUUUAUUUUCACCUCUUCCUCUAUUAGUCAGAUGGGAGAACAGCUUCAAGACCAAGCCUCACGGCCAUUAGUCUGCUUUAGCUACUGGAAGUUCUCUCAUCUAACAGCGCCUUAAUGAAGCCCAUUUAGAGAAUCACAGCUCUGGAAAAUCAGGGUUUCAGCUGCUGUAUCCACGACAAGGCAGCCACUCAAUCACCCAGCUUCUGGAACGUUCUUUAUCCCACUAUUCUCCAGCUCAUUCUCUGGAUCUCAAGCAGCCUCAGCUCCUCUCUCUCCACAAGGCACAUUUGCGUGGCAUCACCUCACUCAGCAGAGCAUCUGUGCUCCCCAGUUAAGCAAGGGCCUGGAGAUAACACCAAGGAACUGCAGCCAGAACCCAAGGAUGCUGCCAGCAACCCUGGAGCAGAGCCCAGUUACAUCUGGCUCCCGCAUGGAAAAAGUCCUGAGGGGAAGCUGCCUGUGCUGGAAUGAAACCUGAAAUAGAACAUCCAGGACAAACUGGCCAGAAGAUCCCUUCCCGUCCCAUUAGCACCACUGCCAGCACAGACACCAGCAUCAGGAGGAGCACCAUGAGGCUGAGGAUGGAGUCCUGCUCUAAUCCCUGCUGACAGACCUCUCCUCUCUGCUGCAGCACAGCAGGACUCUCAGCAGCACAACCCUGACACCUUUAAACAACAAAAAAGUUCUGGUAUCAGGUUGCCAGAAACAAGCUGGAUGCAGGAAAACCAGUUCCUGCAGGAUGCCCUCCUCUCUCUCCCCACUCUCCUGCAAGUGAAAA